GGAUGGGUGGGGCUGUCUCCUCAAACCUCCCUUCAAAGGAGAAUUUGGCCCCCUCCAAGCUGCCUUUCUUCGGAAGGCUGGGGUGCAACAGCGGAGGGGGCUGGGAAGGGGCAGAGAGCUGCCCACCCCAGUCAGCAGGCAGAGCGGGGAGAGAGAGGUGCUGCUGACGUGAGCGCCAACAUGGGGGCAGAGUUUGGACCCCCGCCGCCCUGUAUCCACCUCCCACCUCGGGCAGGCCUCCCCCAGAGGAGGGGGUGCGCCGAGCCCCACCGAGCCCCACCGCGGAGGGAAGGGACAGCCGCCACCUCAACGGAGGCGAACACCUCUCUUUUGAUGUGGUAGGAGACAUUUUCUCCAACUCUGGGCAGCGGAAUCAAGGCAUUUUGGACAACUUGGCCAUUUCUCGGUCCAAAGCCAACACCCAGAUCAAGAAGCUGGGCAUCACCAGCCCUUCUGCACAAGUCCCCUUCCUGGGGGCUGCCAGCCACCCAAGACAGGGACACUGUCCGGGCUUCUAACUGCAUCACUCAGUUUUGCCUGGUCUUGUACUUUAAAUAAAUGG